rnacentral:tRNA from 4 species
GCCUCCUUAGCUCAGCUGGCCAGAGCACCUGUCUUGUAAACAGGGGGUCAUCGGUUCGAAUCCGAUAGGGGGCUCCA